GACGAACGCUGGCGGCGUGCUUAACACAUGCAAGUCGAACGGAAAGGCCCUGCUUUUGUGGGGUGCUCGAGUGGCGAACGGGUGAGUAACACGUGAGUAACCUGCCCUUGACUUUGGGAUAACUUCAGGAAACUGGGGCUAAUACCGGAUAGGAGCCCCUGCUGCAUGGUGGGGGUUGGAAAGUUUCGGCGGUUGGGGAUGGACUCGCGGCUUAUCAGCUUGUUGGUGGGGUAGUGGCUUACCAAGGCUUUGACGGGUAGCCGGCCUGAGAGGGCGACCGGCCACAUUGGGACUGAGAUACGGCCCAGACUCCUACGGGAGGCAGCAGUGGGGAAUAUUGCACAAUGGGCGGAAGCCUGAUGCAGCAACGCCGCGUGCGGGAUGACGGCCUUCGGGUUGUAAACCGCUUUCGCCUGUGACGAAGCGUGAGUGACGGUAAUGGGUAAAGAAGCACCGGCUAACUACGUG
rnacentral:rRNA from 1 species